GAUGAACGCUGGCGGCGUGCCUAAUACAUGCAAGUCGAGCGAACGGACGAGAAGCUUGCUUCUCUGACGUUAGCGGCGGACGGGUGAGUAACACGUGGAUAACCUACCUAUAAGACUGGGAUAACUUCGGGAAACCGGAGCUAAUACCGGAUAAUAUUUUGAACCGCAUGGUUCAAAAGUGAAAGACGGUUUUGCUGUCACUUAUAGAUGGAUCCGCGCCGCAUUAGCUAGUUGGUAAGGUAACGGCUUACCAAGGCAACGAUGCAUAGCCGACCUGAGAGGGUGAUCGGCCACACUGGAACUGGGACACGGUCCAGACUCCUACGGGAGGCAGCAGUAGGGAAUCUUCCGCAAUGGGCGAAAGCCUGACGGAGCAACGCCGCGUGAGUGAUGAAGGUCUUCGGAUCGUAAAACUCUGUUAUUAGGGAAGAACAUAUGUGUAAGUAACUGUGCACAUCUUGACGGUACCUAAUCAGAAAGCCACGGCUAACUACGUG
rnacentral:rRNA from 1 species